rnacentral:rRNA from 1 species
UACGAAGGGGGGCUAGCGUUGUUCGGAAUUACUGGGCGUAAAGCGCGCGCAGGCGGUCUUCCAAGUCAGUGGUGAAAGCCCGGAGCUCAACUCCGGAACUGCCAUUGAAACUGUGAGACUUGAGGAUGAGAGAGGUGAGUGGAAUUCCCAGUGUAGAGGUGAAAUUCGUAGAUAUUGGGAAGAACACCGGUGGCGAAGGCGGCGACCUGGUCCAUUACUGACGCUGAGGCGCGACAGCGUGGGGAGCAAACAGG